CGUAAGCAGCUGAGCCACCCAGGCACCCCUGUCCAUCUUUAUUAAUAUUAACAUUAAUCCCGUCCUCCUGACAGCCACAGACAGGAAGGCACUCGCACCGUCCCCAGGUUACAGAUGAGGAAGCCACGCAUAGCAAGGGUUAAGUAACUGCCCGGGUUCACGCUCCCGGUGAACGGUGGUGCCCAGGUUCUGAAGCCAGACCGUCUACCUCUAGACCACACGCCCCUUCUCCUUGACUACACAGACCAUGGCCCCUUCCUCUAAAUCCCAUUUCUGCCUCCUGGCAGGGUGGACUCCAUCCGUAUCUCUGACUCUUCUGUGCCUCCCUGGGGGUCCCAGCUUGGUGGGAGCCCAGUGUUGAACUGACCCUCAGCCACCGCUGACCCACUGCAGCAAGAGAAGGAAGCCCAAAUGGGGAGCCAGGAAAAGACCCCAGGGAUGCCGCACGCCUCGGACAACGGCGUUCCUCCCUUCUCGUACCCCGGACUUGUACGCUCACAAGAAUUUGCAGGACACCGUGCCGUGCGGGCGCUGUGCUGGCCCAGGGUGCCUGGUAAGGACAGCCAACACUGACAGGCCCCCCCCGGGGAGCCGUCAGGAGCGGGCGCGUCUGAAGAAUGUCACCUCCGUUAACCGCUGCAACGCCCUCACCUGCCCCCUGAACUCCCAGCCCUGGCUGUCCCCAGGGCACCGAGGUGUGUGGCCAGAGUUCCACUUCCAGCACGCACAGAGUGGCCGGUGAGCGCUGCCUCGCCUCAGCAGCUCCGCAGACUGCCUCCCAGGGAGAAGCAGGCCUUUGUGGGAGACGAUGGGUUCUCUUUGAGGAAGAGACCCCGGGAGCCUUAAGACAUGCUGUUACCGGGCCGCCCGGAAGUUCUGAUCUCACUGGUCUGGGUGGGACCCGGGAUCAGUCUGGGUUUUGUGUUUGUUUUUGGAUCAACUCGGGUGAUUCUCUAACCCUUUGCCACUCAGCGGGCGUCCCUGUCGUAAGAGUCCCGCUGGGUUUAACGCCCAGUGUCACUGUCUUGAAAUUCAUCACUGUUGAGCGGGGAGGGGCCUGGUGCUUCCUUCCGGCCCUGGGCCCCCGGGGUUAUGCAGCCCCGUCUGCAAAGUUCUUCCUCCCACAGACCCAGGCUCCCGACUCAACACCUGAGGCCGGCCUGGGCUUUCUGGAUGUUGUAAAAUACAGAUGGCGGCUUGUGGCGGCCCAGGUUAUACAACACGAGGUAAUCAAUCCGACGAGUAAACACAGCGUAGACAAUCAAAACCAGCCACGGUGCAAAACGGGGCAGAAGGCUGAGAGGCCGUGAGAGGCAGGGACAGGACCGAGGGCAGGACCAAGGACAGGACCGGGGGCAGCACCUCACCUGGGGCCUGGCCCCCGCCCUCAGGGUUUGCUCCUUCACAGGGCUGAUGGCGGUGCACCUCACCGAUGCCUCCCCUUGCCUCUCCCUGCCCAGAUGGUCUCUCUCCCUCCUCCGCUCCGCCAAGCUCCCCAUUCCCUAUAACCACCCGUGGUUGGGGGGGUGGCUGCUGGCUGAUCCCCCAAAGUAUGUCUACAUUCUACUCCCUGCACCCUGUGGAUGGGGCCUUGUUUGGAGAAAGGGUCUUUGCAGAUGUGAUUAGGUUAAGAGUUGCAGAGGAGACCAUCCUGAAUCCUCUCCCUAGACCAGAGGGGAGGAGAGGCUGUGAAGGACAGGGACAGAAGAGGAGGGACUCGGUCACAAGCUGAGGGACGCCUGGGCCCCUAAGACCUGGAAGAGGCGGGAAGGAUCCUCCCCUCCAGCCUCUGGAGCGAGGCCCUGUGACACCAUGAAUCGGGGCCUUCUGGCCUCCCAAACUGGGAGAGAAUAAAUUGUUGUUGCUCUAA